UAUUUCGAAUUUUUGGCAAAAAUUCGAAAACGGGUGUUUAAUUCGGCAUUUCAAAAAUUCGCAAAUAAUUCGCGAAUAAUUCGCGAAUUAACUAUGCUCAGGACGUCCAUGACGACAGAAGGACGGCGGACGGCGAACGGCGGACAGCAGACGGCGGGCCGCCGACAGCGGAUGGCGGAGCGCAGCCGGCGGCAGAUGGCGGAGCGCGGCCGGCGGACCGGGGCCGGCGGAUGGCUGCCGGCGGCGCAGAGGGAGAAGGGAGUAGUCUUGGCGCCUCGCCGGCGAUGAGAGAGAGAGAGAGAGGCGAGGAAGAGGUGGUUUUUGCGAAGCGAUCGAUGAAGGUCGGUGCAAGCUUGGUUUCGUCUCGUCUCGUCUCCGUUGCGUGGGUCGUACGUGCGCCGCGGUCGAAUUAUAUUUAAAUAUUAUAGUAAAUUUAAAUCCAUAUUAGAGAAAAAUGGAUUCAGAUACGUGUGGGAAAUCAAACAAAUACGAAUAUGAAUCAGGUUUUUACGAAUAUAUAUUUAAUACUUCUAAAUUUAUUUAGAAAAGAAAAAAAAUUAAAAUAAUGUUAAAUAUGUGGAUAUGUAUAAUAGCAAAGCAGUUUUCGAUUCGCAUUAGGAUAAUCCGAAUUCAAAUUUGAAGAAAAAUAGUAAAACUGAAUUUGCCCCCCGAAAAAAAAAAUUUCUAACUCAAAAUCUAAAUAUGAAUACAAAUAGGAUAGUAAAAUCCUAAUACAUAUCGGAUAAACAAAUAAAAAAUACUUCAAAUACUACUCCUGUGAUUUUAUAUUUUCUUACUUUAGUACCAUAUAGUUUAAAGCGUAUCACUUUUAUACUCUACAAUUUUAUUUUUCUCUUUUUAUUAUUCCUUCCGUUAAUUUUUUUUUUGUUAAACCAGUGGCAAAGUUAAAACUAAAGAGUACUAAAAUAAAUAUUCGGUAAACUAUAGACGGAUUAUCUGAAAUUUUUUGUAUAUGAUUUAACGAAAAGUUAACGGAAUCACUGGCGAAAAGAAAAAAAUAAAUUAUAAGAUAUUAAAUUGAUAAACCUUAUAGGAUACUAAAGUGAAAAAAAUAUGAAAUUACAUGAUGGUAUUUGUAGUUUACCUAAAAAAAACGCAAUAUAUAUAUAUAUAUAUAUAUUGUA
rnacentral:lncRNA from 1 species